rnacentral:rRNA from 1 species
CCUACGGGAGGCAGCAGUGAGGAAUAUUGGUCAAUGGGCGAGAUCCUGAACCAGCCAAGCCGCGUGAGGGAAGACGGCCCUAUGGGUUGUAAACCUCUUUUGUCGGAGAACAAAACCCGCGACGUGUCCCGGUCUGCGUGUAUCUGAAGAAAAAGCAUCGGCUAACUCCGUGCCAGCAGCCGCGGUAAUACGGAGGAUGCGAGCGUUAUCCGGAUUUAUUGGGUUUAAAGGGUGCGUAGGCGGUCUGUUAAGUCAGCGGUAAAAUUUCGGGGCUCAACCCCGUCGGGCCGUUGAAACUGGCAGACUUGAGUUGGCGAGAAGUACGCGGAAUGCGCGGUGUAGCGGUGAAAUGCAUAGAUAUCGCGCAGAACUCCGAUUGCGAAGGCAGCAUACCGGCGCCAGACUGACGCUGAUGCACGAAAGCGUGGGGAUCGAACAGGAUUAGAUACCCUAGUAGUC